AUGUUGUCAGUGUUGAGAAGCUCUCAAUUUUGUAUACUUCACAGUACUUCUAUUAAAAUCGACAUAUUAAGUCGCAAAAAACACAAAUAAUUUUAAUAACAAUUAUUUCUCGCACUUAAAAACGCACGAUAUAACAUUGCCGCAGGAAACUUAGACAUUAUGCGCAAUGGAACUGUCGAAGGCGCCAAAUACACGCAAGCUGAAGCCCUCGCACGUGGUUUAUGGAGGGUUUCGCCUUUAUGAAUUUUGCUUGGGCCAUAAAUAUGUAUAUAUAAUAAUAAUAUUACUUGGUGCAAACUACCUAAGUUGUACCUGAGAAGUACGGUGCACACAUUUUUGCAGCGACUGCAGGCGCUUAGCCCAUGAACAACCGGUUCAAGAUGGAUUCAAACAUUUUACUCCACCGCUUCUCACCUGCAUAGGGCGCUCCGUACAUGGAUUACCCCGAAGUCGGGCGUAUGGUAGUAUGUGUCGAUAUGUCGCUGCGGACUACAUGGAUCGGCGGACCCAGCACCAUCAUUGGCGACAUUGCCGGCACCGCCGGUCACGUCCACAGCCUUGGGCGUACAUGGAACAUUGGAACAAAGACGUAAAUCAGCUUGGCAACAAUUUGCAGGCCAAUUAAAGCACUGAAGCAAUAUGCAGCAUCAAAUCGUUGCAUACUUUUGUGGUGUUCGGAAAAGUCUAGCCUUAUAUUUUCGUUGCAUACUUUAGGGCAUACCUAUUAAUUGUCAAAUUCAAAAUCAUUUCAUUAUUCGCAAGCAGGAUCUAUGUCAACUUCCAAACAAGUGUAUAUUAUGUAUAAUACUGUUCUUUGUAAUGAGAAACCAAUAAUAAAUAAAAACUGAACGGCUUUUG